rnacentral:rRNA from 1 species
AGAGUUUGAUCAUGGCUCAGAUUGAACGCUGGCGGCAGGCCUAACACAUGCAAGUCGAGCGGUAGCACAGAGAGCUUGCUCUCGGGUGACGAGCGGCGGACGGGUGAGUAAUGUCUGGGAAACUGCCUGAUGGAGGGGGAUAACUACUGGAAACGGUAGCUAAUACCGCAUAACGUCGCAAGACCAAAGUGGGGGACCUUCGGGCCUCAUGCCAUCAGAUGUGCCCAGAUGGGAUUAGCUAGUAGGUGGGGUAAUGGCUCACCUAGGCGACGAUCCCUAGCUGGUCUGAGAGGAUGACCAGCCACACUGGAACUGAGACACGGUCCAGACUCCUACGGGAGGCAGCAGUGGGGAAUAUUGCACAAUGGGCGCAAGCCUGAUGCAGCCAUGCCGCGUGUAUGAAGAAGGCCUUCGGGUUGUAAAGUACUUUCAGCGAGGAGGAAGGCGUUAAGGUUAAUAACCUUGGCGAUUGACGUUACUCGCAGAAGAAGCACCGGCUAACUCCGUGCCAGCAGCCGCGGUAAUACGGAGGGUGCAAGCGUUAAUCGGAAUUACUGGGCGUAAAGCGCACGCAGGCGGUCUGUCAAGUCGGAUGUGAAAUCCCCGGGCUCAACCUGGGAACUGCAUUCGAAACUGGCAGGCUAGAGUCUUGUAGAGGGGGGUAGAAUUCCAGGUGUAGCGGUGAAAUGCGUAGAGAUCUGGAGGAAUACCGGUGGCGAAGGCGGCCCCCUGGACAAAGACUGACGCUCAGGUGCGAAAGCGUGGGGAGCAAACAGGAUUAGAUACCCUGGUAGUCCACGCCGUAAACGAUGUCGACUUGGAGGUUGUGCCCUUGAGGCGUGGCUUCCGGAGCUAACGCGUUAAGUCGACCGCCUGGGGAGUACGGCCGCAAGGUUAAAACUCAAAUGAAUUGACGGGGGCCCGCACAAGCGGUGGAGCAUGUGGUUUAAUUCGAUGCAACGCGAAGAACCUUACCUACUCUUGACAUCCAGAGAACUUAGCAGAGAUGCUUUGGUGCCUUCGGGAACUCUGAGACAGGUGCUGCAUGGCUGUCGUCAGCUCGUGUUGUGAAAUGUUGGGUUAAGUCCCGCAACGAGCGCAACCCUUAUCCUUUGUUGCCAGCGAUUAGGUCGGGAACUCAAAGGAGACUGCCAGUGAUAAACUGGAGGAAGGUGGGGAUGACGUCAAGUCAUCAUGGCCCUUACGAGUAGGGCUACACACGUGCUACAAUGGCAUAUACAAAGAGAAGCGACCUCGCGAGAGCAAGCGGACCUCAUAAAGUAUGUCGUAGUCCGGAUUGGAGUCUGCAACUCGACUCCAUGAAGUCGGAAUCGCUAGUAAUCGUAGAUCAGAAUGCUACGGUGAAUACGUUCCCGGGCCUUGUACACACCGCCCGUCACACCAUGGGAGUGGGUUGCAAAAGAAGUAGGUAGCUUAACCUUCGGGAGGGCGCUUACCACUUUGUGAUUCAUGACUGGGGUGAAGUCGUAACAAGGUAACCGUAGGGGAACCUGCGGUUG